GAGUUUGAUCCUGGCUCAGAACGAACGCUGGCGGCAUGCCUAACACAUGCAAGUCGAACGGGAUCCAGGCUUCGGCCUGGUGAGAGUGGCGGACGGGUGAGUAACGCGUGGGAACCUGCCCGAUGGUCUGGGAUAACCGCGGGAAACUGCGGCUAAUACCGGAUAAGCCCGAGAGGGGAAAGAUUUAUCGCCGAUGGAGGGGCCCGCGUCCGAUUAGGUAGUUGGUGAGGUAACGGCUCACCAAGCCGACGAUCGGUAGCUGGUCUGAGAGGAUGAUCAGCCACACUGGGACUGAGAUACGGCCCAGACUCCUACGGGAGGCAGCAGUGGGGAAUAUUGGACAAUGGGGGCAACCCUGAUCCAGCAAUGCCGCGUGAGUGAUGAGGGCCUUAGGGUUGUAAAGCUCUUUUGGCGGGACGAUGAUGACGGUACCCGCAGAAUAAGUCCCGGCUAACUUCGUGCCAGCCGCCGCCGU
rnacentral:rRNA from 1 species